rnacentral:rRNA from 1 species
GAUGAACGUUGGCGGCGUGCCUAAUACAUGCAGGUCGAGCGAACAGACGAGGAGCUUGCUCCUCUGACGUUAGCGGCGGACGGGUGAGUAACACGUGGAUAACCUACCUAUAAGACUGGGAUAACUUCGGGAAACCGGAGCUAAUACCGGAUAAUAUAUUGAACCGCAUGGUUCAAUAGUGAAAGACGGUUUUGCUGUCACUUAUAGAUGGAUCCGCGCCGCAUUAGCUAGUUGGUAAGGUAACGGCUUACCAAGGCAACGAUGCGUAGCCGACCUGAGAGGGUGAUCGGCCACACUGGAACUGAGACACGGUCCAGACUCCUACGGGAGGCAGCAGUAGGGAAUCUUCCGCAAUGGGCGAAAGCCUGACGGAGCAACGCCGCGUGAGUGAUGAAGGUCUUCGGAUCGUAAAACUCUGUUAUUAGGGAAGAACAAAUGUGUAAGUAACUAUGCACGUCUUGACGGUACCUAAUCAGAAAGCCACGGCUAACUACGUG